GGGGUCUGGCCACUGCACACAGCCAGGCACGCCAGCUGCUGCGGCAGGGCAUGCAGCUCCAGGAACCGGCACCGGCACCAGCUCCUUGCGAGGCUGCAGCUGGACCAGGUGUACCACAGGCGGCUUCCGCUGCAAGUACCAGGGUCUGGAUGAGGGGAACACAGUGGCACCCAAAAACCUGAGUGAGACGCCAGCAACCACAGAGGCCAAAGAGACUUCUUAAAGCUAAUUUCCAACUCUUCCUGCCUGCAAUGAAGAGCAAGAAGUGAUUAAACUGUUCAAUUGCACAAUCAACUGACAAACAACAAUCUACAUGACACCUUCAAGAAAGGGAUUAAUCUCCACAUGGCACAAAGAUACCAUCAAGGAUACAACAUACAUGAAGUUGUCACAUCUCUUUAAGCUCAUCUUAGCAGCCACUAUUCCUCAGAACUUUCUUUGGCUUUGAUGACCUUUUCAGUUUUUGAGAAGUAUUGGUCAGGGUAAUCUAUGCCUUUUGAACCACUCUUUACAAAAUCUUCAUCCUGCCUUUGCUACUAACAACUUCACCAAACCACUGGAAGAGGAACUAUAUGAGUGAAAAAAUCACAUCAUUCUUCCUCAGCAUUUGUAUUAGUUUGUUCUUAUGCUGCUGAUAAAGACAUACCUGAGACUGGGUAGUUUAUAAAGAAAAAGAGGUUUAAUGGACUCAACAUUUCCCCAUGGCUGGGGAGACCUCACAAUCAUGGGAGAAGGCAAAGGAGGAGCAAAGGCAUGUCUUACAUGGCAGCAGAAAUAUUGAAAUUGUUGGCAAAAUCUGUUGGAACAUAUUUCCUGGCAAAAGAGAAAGCAUGAACAUAAGAUGAAGUGAAUGUGAUCUUGGGGACAAAAAAGCAAGUUCAAUCUCCAACUCUAAGAAUUUAUUGAGUUAGCGGCAGCUACUUAUUGCGUUUUCUGUUUACUACUUUGCUUCUAAAUUUUACAUAUAUGUUUACGUCUGUAUUCAAACCAACUUAUAGGAAUAAUACACAUUUUACAACUGGAUUAUUCAUCAUAUUUAAGAAUUAUUUUUUGUCUACUGAAACCAAUUAUUAUUUAUAUUUACAGGCAGUUACAUUCUUUUUUAAAAUCUAUUUUCCUUUAUAUUGUCAAAAUCAUGAAUUUUUCUCAUGUGUUUCACAUAUAACUCAUAAGUGAACAAACAAAAGAGAGGAGUGUUUAACUUAUUUUAUGACCAACUUUUCUUUUCUUUUCUUAUACCAGAUAGUCAUCUGCUAUGAUAGAGGACUGCAGAAAUUUAAGAAUGGAUUUUGUAAAACAUUGUCAAACUUAGGUGCUAAGCCAAAUGUUAUAAUAAACCACACCAAUAUCAAGAGUGAAAAAUGUCAACAAAUAACUGGCAAGGGUGUUAAUAUCUUCAGUUUUAAUAUUUAUCUGCAAUAUUGUUCAUAUCUUCAUUUUCUACUCAGGAUGUGAUGUAGUUCAAUUUGAAAUUGUGAGAAUGUGAACUAGGUAGAGCACGUUAAUAAAAGUUUAGCUAGUUCUACUUUGGGAGGCCGAGGCAGGCGGAUCACGAGGUCAGGAGAUUGAGACUAUCCUGGCUAACAUGGUGAAACCCUGCCUCUACUAAAAAAUACAAAAAAAUUAGCUGGGCUUGGUGGCAGGCACCUGUAGUCCCAGCUACUCAGGAGGCUGAGGCAGGAGAAUGGCAUGAACCCAGGAGGCAGAGCUUGCAGUGGGCCGAGAUCGCACCACUGCACUCCAGCCUGGGAGACAGGGAGAGACUGCUAUUUUUCCCAUAGCAGUAAGGGUCAAUUUACAGUCACUAUAUUGGCCAAACUAAGUCUCGUAAUAAAUACUGACAAAUCAUUAUCUAUAGAAUAGUUAAGCACUUUGUCACUCCAUUAAUAUUUCCUGAGACAUACCAAAAUUAUUUCCUUCAUUAGUGUUUUCUUUGUUGAACUUAAAAGAAUAUUUUGAACUUUAUCUUCAUUUUCUAUCAGUUCACUUGAACCUUGGCUUAGUUCUCAAAUAUGUAGGAACAGGGUUAAAUCCUCAAAAUUUGGCUAAUAAGAAUUAUUUUUACUAUUUAUUCAAUUUUAUUCAGUUAAUAUUUCAAUAUAAACAGUGAAAACAACCAACUUAAUUUUUUAUAAUACAGGUCUCAGAGAUAUCGCCUGUGAUUCAUUUAGUUUAAGCCUUCCCAUUUGAAACUGCUGCAGAACUCAUAUUUUCUGUUUCUUAAAGUUGAGAUUGAUAUAAAUCAUAGAAAAUUUAAAAACAUGUCUCUUAAUAUUAACAGUUAACUGGUAUAGUGACCAUAACUAAUCACAUUCAUCUUUGGUGAAUCACAUUGAAAUUAAUGAGAAAAUAACUUUAGGAACCAAAAUUAGUGACUGAAAAGCAUUUUAUUAGCCAAUUGUUUGAAGGCAUGUAGAGAUAAUAAAGAAAAUCUGAGAAGAUGAAGAUUGCAGCAUAGUUUUCUAAAUCCUAACAUUAAAAAAACAGGAGAGCAAUUAUAUAUGUAAAACUCAAAACCCAUGAACACUGUUUACAAUAAAGUCUAGAGACAAGGUAUCCCUAUGAACCUCAAAAAGUGCAAAAGGCAAAUGACCACAAGACGUUCAUGUAAAUAUUAUAUGUGCAAAGAAAAAGUAGUGAGACUCAAUACAGUAUUUGAUAGUCAUGAUAAUAGGAGAAUCCUUAAAUAGCCAACAGCUAUUUAAUGGAAAACAUGGGGUCCAGUUUGAAAAUAACAGUUGAAAAAGGGAAGUAGUUUUGCCGAAUCCAAUAGCAGAUGAGUACAAGGAGUUCAUAGUGGUUCCCCAUGGCUGGAGCUGUAAUGUCACAGUAAACACUUAAAACUGAUCAGCUAAACUGUUUUCUAGGACAGGACAGCAAACUGAAGAGAAAUCGUUUGAAAUGGAAUCAAAGUAAGCCAAUUAGAGGCAACAACAGAACAAAAGAAAGAGAAGCUACAGAUAAAAGUGGAAAAAAAAAGAUAGAUUAUAGAUACAAGUGGAGAAAGGAAACUGUAUCAGAAAAUUUCAGAGUGCAAAACCACCAUAUUUUCUAGCAGUAUACCAAAAGUGACCACACACAGAGCUCUGUGUCAUUAGAAAAUUUAUCCUGUAGCAUGCCUACUUCAGUUUCGAAAAAUUAAAUUUACAUAACAAAUUGAGUUUUAAUUUAACAAAAAAAGCUAUUGUAAGGAAUAAACAAGGAUAACAAGAAGAAAAACAUACUUUUAGAAAAUAAAAGCAUGCUAAAAUGUCAGGCUUUCAGGACAUCUUAAAACCGUAGAUUAUUUCUAUUUGAAAAUGGUCUAUUAAUAAAUAACAUUAAGAAAUAAUAAUGAGACUAGUAUUUUCCUGAUAUUAAAAGAAGAUCAAAGACAUCAGGUAAAAAGAAAGCUACAGACAGAUGUCUUUUAUGAAUGAAUAUACGCACAAAAAUGCCCUUGUCAAAUACUAGUAGCACUGAAUCAAGCAACAUAUACAGAUGUGUGGACACCAUAUACAAAUGGAUCUAUUUCAGAAAUGUAAUAUUGGUUUAAUAUGUAAAAAAUUAAUAUAGUACACCAUAUCAGUAGAACAAAGGUCAAAAACCACUUGAUCAUCUCAAUAGAUGCAAAGAGUAAAAGUAUUUGACAAACUCUGAUUCAUUUUCAUGAUUAGAACCACACGCACACACACACAUAAAUACUAGGAGGGAACUUCCUCAAUCUGAAAAAGAGGAUUUACAAAAAAUCAACAGCUCACCUUGUACUUAGUGAUUAAUGAAUGACUCAAUGAUCUUCCAAAAAGAAGAAGGCAUGAAUAUCUAUUCUUGCAGACUUCUAUUCAACAUUGUACUGGAGGUGCCAGCCAGGACAUUUAUGUAAAAAUAUGAGAAAAAAAGUAAUCUAGAUUGAAAAAGAAUAAAGAAAAUCAUCUCAAUUCAUAAAUGUCAUGAUGUUGCAUAUGGAAUAACUUAAGAAAUCAACUAAAAAUCAAAGAGAACUAAUAAAUUAGUUCAGCAGAAUUUCAGGAUACAGGAUAAAAUAAUCAACUAUAUUUUUACACACCAGGAAUGAACAAUUCAAAAUGAUAUUAAGAAAAUAAUUCCCAGCCAGGCAGGUAAUCCCCACACUUUAGGAGCCAAAGGCAGGAAAACGGUAUGAAACCAGGAGUUUGGGACCAGCCUGGGCAAUAGCAGGAGUGUCUCUAUAACAAACAGAGAAAUAAACAGACAAACAAACUAAAAACUUAGUUGGUCGUGUUAGUCCUAGCUGCUCAGGAGGCUAAAGUGGAGAACCACUUGAGCCCAGGAGUUCAAGUUUACAGUGAGUUAUGAUCAUGCCACUGUACUUCAGUCUGGGCCACAGAGCAAGACUGCAGGAAAAAAUCCAAUUUAAUAGCAUCUGAAAGAAUAAAAUACUUAGCAAUAAAUUUAACAAAAGUGCAAAAGUGGAAUCUUAUACACUUAGAACUGCCAAACAUUGUUAAAAUAAGUUAAAGAAAAUGUAAAUAAAUGGAAAGACACUCUAUGUACAUGGCAAAGAGACUAAAUAUUGUUAAAAUGACAAUAUUUCCUAUUAUUGUCAUUUUAACAAUUAAUGCAUUAGUGCAAUCUCUAACAAAAUCCCAGCUGGCUUCUGGAAAUUGACAAGCUGGUACUAAAAUUUAUAUGGAAGUUCUGGGGAACCAGAAUAGCCAAAACAAUCUUGGGAAUGAAAAGGAACAAAACUGGGUAACUUCUACUUAUUGAUGUCAAAGUUUACUACAAAACUUAACACAAUGUGGUACGCGCAUAAAGAGACACAUACAACUCAGUGGAGUAGAACUGAGCAUGAAAAUAAAAGCACAAAACAGAAAGAAAGAUCAUCUUUGCAAAUCAUAUCUUUGAUGAGGAAUUUGUAUCCAGAAUAUAUAAAGAGCUUUUACAACUCAUUAUUAAAAAUAACUCAAUUUUUAAAAAAUUAACAAAGAAUCUGAAUAGAUUUUUUUUCCAUAGAAGAUAUAGAAAUGAUUAACAAGCACAGAAUAAGACCUUCAAUAUCAUUAGAGAUUAUAACAUUGCAAAUCAAAACCACAAUAUGCUACUUUACACCUACUAGAAUGACUAUAAUGAAAAAGACAGAUAAUAGCAUAUUUUGCCAAAGAUGUGGAAAAAUUAGAACUCACAUAUUGCCAGUGAGAAUGUAAAAUGUUACAGCCACUUUGGGAAACAGCCUGGCAGUUCCUUAAAAUGUUAAACAUAAAUUUAACAUGUGAUCCACCAAACAUAUGUCCACACAAAAACUUGUACAUGAAUGUUUUUAGAAACGUUUAAUAACCAAAAAGUGUAAACCACCUUAUUGCUCAUCAACUGAUCAAUAAAUAAUAUGUGGUAUAAACAGAAAGUGAAAUAUUAUUCAGCAGAAAAAGAAGGAAUUACUGACUAGUACAUUCCACAAAAUUUGAAUGGUUCUUGAAAAUAUUAAAUGAAUGAAAAAAGCCAGUAACAAAAGAUCACAUAUUAUAUAAUUCCAUUUUCAGAAAGUGUAUAGAAUAGAUAAAUUUAUAGAGAAAGAAAGUGGAUCAGUAGGUAUUUUUUUUUAAUGUAACCUGGUGUGUAAUAUGGGAAAUUAGAGACUCAAUGCUAGAAGACAUAAGGUUUCUUUUGGGGUGAUAAAACUGUUCUCCAGUGGAUUGUGGUGACGGUUACACUACUCUGAGACUAUACUAAAAACCAUUGAAUUGUACAAUUCAAAUGGGCAAAUUGUGACAUGUGAAUUCAAUCUCAAUAAAUCUAUUACCAAAUAAAUUAUGCAAUGUUUCAGACUAAAUGUAUUAAAUCAUGUGCACAAGUUUUCUUUACAUUGCAAAAUAUAAAAUACUGCUAAAAGAAACAAAACAUAAACU
ensembl:lncRNA novel transcript